GAGGGUAUAGCUCAAGUGGUAGAGCACAUGCUUAGCAUGCACGAGGUCCUGUGUUCAAACCCCAGUGCCUCUG
rnacentral:tRNA from 1 species